AUUGAACGCUGGCGGCAUGCUUUACACAUGCAAGUCGAACGGUAACAGCACUUCGGUGGCUGACGAGUGGCGAACGGGUGAGUAAUACAUCGGAACGUGCCUAGUAGUGGGGGAUAACUACUCGAAAGAGUAGCUAAUACCGCAUGAGAUCUAAGGAUGAAAGCAGGGGACCUUCGGGCCUUGCGCUACUAGAGCGGCUGAUGGCAGAUUAGGUAGUUGGUGGGAUAAAAGCUUACCAAGCCGACGAUCUGUAGCUGGUCUGAGAGGACGACCAGCCACACUGGGACUGAGACACGGCCCAGACUCCUACGGGAGGCAGCAGUGGGGAAUUUUGGACAAUGGGCGCAAGCCUGAUCCAGCAAUGCCGCGUGCAGGAUGAAGGCCUUCGGGUUGUAAACUGCUUUUGUACGGAACGAAAAGCCCUCUUCUAAUACAGGAGGGUCAUGACGGGACCGUAAGAAUAAGCACCGGCUAACUACGU
rnacentral:rRNA from 1 species